rnacentral:rRNA from 1 species
CCUACGGGAGGCAGCAGUGGGGAAUAUUGCACAAUGGGGGAAACCCUGAUGCAGCGACGCCGCGUGAGUGAAGAAGUAUUUCGGUAUGUAAAGCUCUAUCAGCAGGGAAGAAAAUGACGGUACCUGAUUAAGAAGCCACGGCUAACUACGUGCAAGCAGCCGCGGUAAUACGUAGGGCGCAAGCGUUAGCCGGAUUUACUGGGUGGAAAGGGAGCGUAGACGGCAGGACAAGUCUGGAGUGAAAUGCCGGGGCUUAACCCCGGAACUGCUUUGGAAACUGUGCAGCUAGAGUGCAGGAGAGGUAAGUGGAAUUCCUAGUGUAGCGGUGAAAUGCGUAGAUAUUAGGAGGAACACCAGUGGCGAAGGCGGCUUACUGGACUGUAACUGACGUUGAGGCUCGAAAGCGUGGGGAGCAAACAGGAUUAGAUACCCUUGUAGUC